UGAUGGGGCUGUGAUAAUAUCUGUUCUAUCCUUCUUCACCCCCUCCCCAUUGAUCACCAGCAUCGAUUUGGAUGAUCUGACUGGAGAGGAAGAUAGCUCUAUUGUCCCCCACCACUCGGUGUGUGUCUCUCCUGAAAGCAUGGUACUUGGCUAAAGGAUACAGCCUGCCAUGAUAGAAGGAUAGCUGGGACUCACUAGUAGCUGUGCUCCUCUGGUGAGCCUGCAAACACUCGCCCAGCGAUAAUGGGCUUUUCUUUCCAGUGCCAAAGGCACGUGAUGCUUUCCAUGUAGAUCACGUUCAGAAGCUACGUGGUUCU
ensembl:misc_RNA 7SK 7SK RNA